UAGAAACAAAUCAAAUGUACACCAGAAGGG
rnacentral:piRNA from 1 species